rnacentral:rRNA from 1 species
UGGGGAGUGGCGCGUGCUAGGCAUGCAGUCGCGCGAGAAAGCGGACUUCGGUUCGCGAGUAAAGCGGCGAAAGGGUGAGUAAUGCAUAGGUCAUCUGCCCUCGACACCGGUACAGCGCCUGGAAACGGGCGGUAAUCCCGGAUGGCCCCGAUAGCGAGAAUUCGUCGUCGGGUAAAGAUGGGGAUCUUCGGACCUUUCGGUCGAGGAGGAACCUAUGUCCUAUCAGCUAGUUGGUGAGGUAAUGGCCCACCAAGGCAAUGACGGGUAGCCGGACUGAGAGGUUGACCGGCCACACUGGGACUGAGACACUGCCCAGACUCCUACGGGAGGCUGCAGUCGAGGAUCUUCCGCAAUGGGCGCAAGCCUGACGGAGCGACGCCGCGUGGAGGAUGAAGGCCUUCGGGUUGUAAACUCCUGUCACAGGUUAUGAAUGACGACGUGUUAACACCACGGCGUUUGACAAAGGCCUGAGAGGAAGCCACGGCUAACUCCGUGCCAGCAGCCGCGGUAAUACGGAGGUGGCAAGCGUUGCUCGGAAUCACUGGGCAUAAAGGGCGCCUAGGCAGUGCGAUGAGUCGGCUGUGAAAUCCUUCGGCUCAACCGAAGAAGCGCAUCCGAUACUGUCGUGCUAGAGGACGAGAGGGGAGAGUGGAACUCCUGGUGGAGCGGUGAAAUGCGUAGAUAUCAGGAGGAACGCCGGUGGCGAAAGCGACUCUCUGGCUCGUUCCUGACGCUGACGCGCGAAAGCUAGGGGAGCGAACGGGAUUAGAUACCCCGGUAGUCCUAGCUGUAAACGAUGGGCACUAAGUAGUGGCGUUUUCGAUGGCGUCACUGCCGUAGUAAAUGUGUUAAGUGCCCCGCCUGGGGAGUAUGGUCGCAAGGCUGAAACUCAAAGGAAUUGACGGGGCUCACACAAGCGGUGGAGGAUGUUGCUCAAUUCGAAGCAACGCGAAGAACCUUACCUGGGCUUGACAUGUAGGUAGUAGGGAUCUGAAAGGUGACCGAUCUGGAGCAAUCCAGAAGCCUACACAGGUGUUGCAUGGCUGUCGUCAGCUCGUGCCGUGAGUGUUGGGUUAAGUCCCGUAACGAGCGAAACCCUGUCGCUAGUGCCAACGGAUCAUGCCGGGACUCUAGCGAGACUGCCGGUGUUCA